rnacentral:tRNA from 2 species
GGGGUCGUCAGACAGUCUGGUCUAGUCUGCGAGGCUCCAAACCUCGUCACGUGCGUUCAAAUCGCACCGACCCCA